rnacentral:rRNA from 1 species
UACGUAGGCAGCAAGCGUUGUUCGGAAUUACUGGGCGUAAAGAGUGUGUAGGCGGUGCUCUAAGUUUGGUGUGAAAUCUCCCGGCUUAACUGGGAGGGUGCGCUACAAACUGUCUGACUAGAGUGUGGGAUGGGUAAGUGGAAUUCCUGGUGUAGCGGUGAAAUGCGUAGAUAUCAGGAGGAACACCGGUGGUGUAGACGGCUUACUGGACCAUAACUGACGCUGAGACACGAAAGCGUGGGUAGCAAACAGG